AAGUCGUAACAAGGUUUCCGUAGGUGAANCUGCGGAAGGAUCAUUA
rnacentral:rRNA from 2 species